rnacentral:rRNA from 1 species
UACGUAGGGUGCGAGCGUUAAUCGGAAUUACUGGGCGUAAAGCGUGCGCAGGCGGUGAUGUAAGACCGAUGUGAAAUCCCCGGGCUUAACCUGGGAACUGCAUUGGUGACUGCAUCGCUCGAGUAUGGCAGAGGGGGGUAGAAUUCCACGUGUAGCAGUGAAAUGCGUAGAGAUGUGGAGGAACACCGGUGGCGAAGGCGGCAUCCUGGACCAAUUCUGACACUGAGGAGCGAAAGCCAGGGGAGCAAACGGG